AUUUCUUCUAAAGCUAAAUACUGGCCAGAGACCGAUAGCGCACAAGUAGAGUGAUCGAAAGAUGAAAAGCACUUUGGAAAGAGAGUUAAAAAGCACGUGAAAUUGUUGAAAGGGAAGCGCUUGAGGCCAGACUUGCCUGUAGUUGCUCAGCCGGGCUCCGGCCCGGUGCACUCUUCUGCGGGCAGGCCAGCAUCAGUUCGGGCGGCCGGAUAAAGACCUCUGUCACGUACCUCCCUCCGGGGAGGACUUAUAGGGGAGGUGAAAUGCGGCCAGUCCGGACUGAGGUCCGCGCAUCUGCUAGGAUGCUGGCGUAAUGGCUGUAAGC
rnacentral:rRNA from 1 species